GACGAACGCUGGCGGCGUGCUUAACACAUGCAAGUCGAGCGGUAAGGCCUCUUCGGGGGUACACGAGCGGCGAACGGGUGAGUAACACGUGGGUGACCUGCCCUCAGCUCUGGGAUAAGCCUGGGAAACUGGGUCUAAUACCGGAUAUGACCUUUCCUCGCAUGGGGUUUGGUGGAAAGUUUUUUCGGCUGGUGAUGGGCCCGCGGCCUAUCAGCUUGUUGGUGGGGUGAUGGCCUACCAAGGCGACGACGGGUAGCCGGCCUGAGAGGGCGACCGGCCACACUGGGACUGAGACACGGCCCAGACUCCUACGGGAGGCAGCAGUGGGGAAUAUUGCGCAAUGGGCGGAAGCCUGACGCAGCGACGCCGCGUGGGGGAUGACGGCCUUCGGGUUGUAAACCUCUUUCGACCCCGACGAAUUUGGACGGUAGGGGUAGAAGAAGCACCGGCCAACUACGUG
rnacentral:rRNA from 1 species